rnacentral:rRNA from 1 species
GAUGAACGCUGGCGGCGUGCCUAAUACAUGCAAGUCGAGCGAACGGACGAGAAGCUUGCUUCUCUGAUGUUAGCGGCGGACGGGUGAGUAACACGUGGAUAACCUACCUAUAAGACUGGGAUAACUUCGGGAAACCGUAGCUAAUACCGGAUAAUAUUUUGAACCGCAUGGUUCAAAAGUGAAAGACGGUCUUGCUGUCACUUAUAGAUGGAUCCGCGCUGCAUUAGCUAGUUGGUAAGGUAACGGCUUACCAAGGCAACGAUGCAUAGCCGACCUGAGAGGGUGAUCGGCCACACUGGAACUGAGACACGGUCCAGACUCCUACGGGAGGCAGCAGUAGGGAAUCUUGCGCAAUGGGCGAAAGCCUGACGGAGCAACGCCGCGUGAGUGAUGAAGGUCUUCGGAUCGUAAAACUCUGUUAUUAGGGAAGAACAUAUGUGUAAGUAACUGUGCACAUCUUGACGGUACCUAAUGAGAAAGCCACGGCUAACUACGUG